UAUGUAAGCUUCCAUGAUCAGUGGGUUGUUGUGAGGGUAGAUGAUACCUUUUUCUUCCUUAGGAUAGAAACAUAUUGGAUCCCAGUUAGGCUUUUGAUACUUGCCUCCCUUGAUGUCUUCCACGUGAAACACUUGGUGGCCAGACCUUAAAACUCGUUCACUAUUUUUCAUGGCCCUAUUGGAAGAUUUAGAUAUGGGUGUGCCACCACUUAUGGAAUAUAUCACAUUCCCCUGGCAUUGGUUACGGUUACCCCUUGGAGGGUGAAUGAGGAAUUGAUCAAUUUUUCCUCCACUUGCCAAAGCUUCAAUAUGAUCACGAAAGGUGAUACACUUACCGCCGUCAUGACCGUUAUACUCAUGGUAGCAGCAAAACGUGCCCGUGUUCUUCGUGGACUUGUAAUUCGGGUGCCUCAGUUUUGUCUUCGAUAUCAGGUGUGCUAUGCUGGGGUAAAUGGCCACGCAUAUGGCGUUCAAAGGUGUGUAUGCCUCAUACCUCGGGGUAGAGGCUGUCCUGACACGUGCUUGACCCACUAUGUUGACUGCCUAGGGUCGGGGAUUAUCGUGGCGAUAUCCUUGGUUAUCGUGGUAGUGUCUCUUACUCUUUUUACUAAAAUGAGACUGGUGAGGAUGGAAAUCUUUCC
rnacentral:lncRNA from 1 species